GUUGAGAUUAAAUCCCACUUCAUCCCUAAAAAACUAAAUCACGUCUGCCCCCUUCUCCCGUUCUUCUCACAUUAGACGCCUUCUGCCGACCCACCCCCAUCCUUCCACCUCCCUCCACUCCGACAGACGACCGACGAGACCCUGCCGCCGCUGACCCACCACCUACCCCUCUCUCUAUUCUGCUCUCAAGGAAAGGUCGAAGAAAAGGAAGGGAAGGUCCAAGCACGAUAAAAUCGCGAAAAUCGAAUUCGCCCACCACCGAAGCUCCAUUGCCAAGGUAAGUGAUAAGAGAAUGUGUCCUUCAAAUCCAAUGAGUAAAACUAACAAUGGCUUUGAAGAAGACGAGGAAGGCUCAGAUAGUGACCAAGAGGACGGCUCAGAUUGUUCCGAAUGAUCUUGGAGUAUUUUGGCUUGCUGGCUUUGUUUUGUAAUGAUUUAUUCUUAUUGUAUCAAACUCAAACUAUGUACACCAAGAGUUUUGUUCGUAGAAUACUAAUGUAGUAAUUGUGCUUUCAGUUUGGAAUUGAAUGUAAUGGGAUGGACCAGUUUGGAAUUGAAUGUAAUGGGAUGGACCAGUUUUUAGGUUAACUGUAAGAAAGUUCUUUUUGUGGACCAAUUUUUUGGGAUAGAAUUAAUUGAAUGUAAGAUAUAUGGAUCAGUUUUUUA